rnacentral:tRNA from 1 species
GCCGCGGUGGUCUAGUGGCUAAGGCACUCGGCUGCUGACCCGAAGGGCGCGGGUUCGAAUCCCGGCUGCGGCG